rnacentral:rRNA from 1 species
UACGAAGGGGGCUAGCGUUGUUCGGAAUUACUGGGCGUAAAGCGCACGUAGGCGGAUACUUAAGUCAGGGGUGAAAUCCCGGGGCUCAACCCCGGAACUGCCUUUUGAUACUGGGUACCUCGAGUCCGGAAGAGGUGAGUGGAAUUCCGAGUGUAGAGGUGAAAUUCGUAGAUAUUCGGAGGAACACCAGUGGCGAAGGCGGCUCACUGGUCCGGUACUGACGCUGAGGUGCGAAAGCGUGGGGAGCAAACAGG